rnacentral:lncRNA from 1 species
CCCAACCAUGUCUCUGACCUCAUCUCCUAUCUUCUGCCUCCUCUCCCAGCCAUGGAUUAGCCCACUGACAACUCAGUUACGCUGGCACCCAUGCUUCCAUGGCACCCACGUUUCCAGAAUCCCCUUCUCUGUGUGGUUCCAGAUUAGAGCUAGCCAAAAGUGAAGUUGUACAAGGCUUGAGUGGCAAAAGAGAAGCAGCCAUCAUGCCCUGAAGAGUAACAUGGGUUGAAGGCAAUGGGGAACAGAGGUUGGGGUGCUGGUCCUGUUUAUCCUCCAUCUUCCCUACCUCACAGCCAACUCUUCUUCCUGACAGUAGUCCCUCAAUGACCAACAGCCGACCUUAAGUUCACCACCAGAUGCUUUGUGACAAACUCACAAAGGCAAUAGCCACAAAGGGCCAACAACUUUCCCUGGGCAUCUAUCCAAGCCUGUCUGCAUGGUCCCUUCCAACAGCUGGAUGUAUUGGCUGCCAGAUGUCCCUGAAACCGCAGGCUGCCUUACCUAUGUCAGGAAUUUGGUUUCCCUGAUUGACCCAUCACUGAGAUCAUCAUUAGCAGAAGGGAUACGGUUCCAGAACUAGCAGCCUCCAUUUCCUCCUCCUUGGGAUGUGUGUUGUGAGAAGCUCAUGUCACAUAGAAGGCAACAUGUGGGCACCUAAGCAGAUAAUCCCCAACUGAACACCCACUCAACAACUGGUGCCAACUGCCAUCCAUGAGCAUGCAUCAUCUUGGAUGUUCCAGCCCAGUCGAGCCCCAGAUGACUGCAGCUCCAGCCAACAACACACGGAACAGAAUAACCACCCAGCUGAGCCCAGCCAAUCCCUGAGCCCAGGGAAUUAUGAUGAUGAAACUAUACCCUAAAGAGUUAAUGAAACCAAUGACAGAAAUUACUGAGUUUGCAGGAUAACAGAUAAGAAAAAAAACAACUUGCUGAGAUGCUGAAAUUCCCUCCUCUUCUGAGUAUUUUUUUUUUAACUCA